rnacentral:lncRNA from 1 species
UUGUAUCUCAUUUUGCCGUUCAAGGCAUCUCUCCAUCCAUCCAUGGCAAAUGGUACUCUUAAAGGCAAUCAUCUAUCCAUUUCUCUCCUCUCCCAUACACUCUCUGUCUCCCUCUCUAUCAAUUUCAUUUAAAAGAAAUAAAAAAAAGCAAACAAACAUGAUAAGAAAAUUAAAAAAAUGUAAUCUGAAAAAAUGAAUGAUAAAAUAAAAAAAAAAUGAAGAAAAAAGUAUAAACAAAUCCAUUUCUAGGAAAAAAAAAAGUGAAAAUAUUAUCAAGCUUUUAGGGCACCGUUCACCAUCUCAAUAUCACAUUCUUUAUUGGAUCUCCACACCACUGCUCACUUUGUUUCUCCUCUUUCCAUAAAGACUUGAUAUGCAGCCCGACCACCACGACUAAGCCACUUUCUGAGGUGGUGCUGUAGCCACAAUCGAUUUCUCCCCAUCCCAUCGCACUCAUACCUAGAAUGCGAUUCGACUGGCCUCCAAACCUCGUAACAGAGAUCGAUGGAGCUAUACCAUAUAUUUCUGUUUUUAAAUAAAGAGAGUCCAUUUUUGUGAUGCCAUCUCACAUCUUCUUCAUCAUCCUCUUAAAAAAUAAGAGAGGUGAAAGAGAGAGAGAGAGAUUUUUCUACUUUUUUUUUGUUUUUGUUUUAUUAAAAACUGUAAUUUGGUAAUAGUCAAUGAA